AAAUUUUAUCCGAUACAAAUUACCAAAAUAUUCCAAUUUUGGUAUUUUUUUUUAUAUUUCUGCGGGUUCUAAAAGUAUUUGAUAGUUGUACAAAUUAAUAUUUUUGUUAUUUUUAAAUUAGUGAGAACUUCAGUAAUGAAUUGUAAAAUUAGAGGGUGUCUAAAAAUUAUUAUUUUUGCACAUUCUCUGUAUUUCAGAUUUUUAAUGAUUUUAGAAAAUUUUACUUUUUGUUUUCAAAAAUGUUUUAGAGCCCCUAAAUUUAAUAAAAUGAUUAAACUAGCAUUCUUUUUCAAAUUGGGGGUUACAAAUUUUAAAAAUAAAAAUAGAAACUUUCUUUCUUUUCAUUCCGUACAAAACACACGAGCAGACAGGGUUGGGGGUUUAGGGAUUGCAUCAAUCGGCGAUUUCAAGCAAAUCGCAGAGAGGCGACGGGAGGUAGGUGGAUUGGAGGUUGAAGGAGGAGGCUGAUGGGGCGUUCUUCGCCGGUGAAGGAGGCGGCGUGUGGUGGCGCUGCUAUGGAUUCCAGUUUUAGCUAUGGUUGCAAGUUGGGCAGGUUGUUGUAGCUGCUGUUGUUGCAGCGCAGAGAGAGAUGAUGGAGGCGAGCAGUUGUAGAGCUAUUUGGUGGUGGCUGAAGUCGACCAAGAUGUGCAUAUAGAGGAUGUUCAGAAGUAGUUGAAUAGUAUCGUGGAGCGAGGAUGGAACAAACCAAUAAAGCGAAGCUAUGCUAUGGAUAGUCAGUUAAGUUCUGUCAGAAACUAAGCAGAAGGGAACAAUUGUCAGUAGAUAGUAUUGUUAGAAAUCUGAGAAGCAGGAGUUAAGGCAAGUACUUCUAUCCUUCUCUUACAGUUAACAAAUAUUUUUAUUUGCAACCUAUACAUAUACUGCAAGUAAUUCUAUUUGUCUCUUAUAAUUAAAGAGCAAUUUUCCUAUCAUUCUCUUUUAUUUAAAAAGCAAUUUCCCAGUUUCUUCUAUUUAUUCAAGAAUGCUUUUGAGACUUUUUGGAAUUCUUUAUUGGUAAAUGUAUUUCUUGGUUUACUUUGUCCUAGUGGCAAUUGGUUAUUUUGUUCAAUAUUCUCUUGCUAUUAUAUCUUUUAAGAAUGUUGAGCAUAGCCAACUAUAUAUGAUUUCAAACUUGGUUAACAGUGAAAUGUGGUAUACAGAGUAUUACUCUGCAGGUUUUGAUUUAAAAAGGUUGGAUGCCUUUUGGGUUUGGUAACAUGAAAAUGGUGUUAAAAGACUUCUAAUAUAGAAGUAUAUUUAUAAACUGUUAACCAAUCGGAAUUCAUUUGCUGGACCGUGGUGCCGGUCGUGAGUUACAUGUUACAUUAUUUAAGGCCAAUGUGUGCCUUGGGCCCCUUAGUUCUUUGGAUAGGUAGCGCCCUGUCCUGGUGCUUGAUGCUCGGCUGAUCACCGUGUCAGCACAACGCACCGUAAGUGAAUGAUUUUUCACAGAAUAGUUUUGAAUGAUUUUAUUCUCUUGUAAUUGCCAUACUUUUAAAAUAUGACUCUUGUUCUAUAUUGUUAAAAAUACCUGGCAAGUUACAUAUAGAAUUUGAUAUAUUUCAGUUCUCUUUCAUUUAUUACAUCUUUUCUUGUUAUAUACUUGCUGAGCAUUAUUGCUCACUCUUGCUAUCCCUAUUAACCUUUUCAGCUAGGGAUUAAGGUGAUUUAUUUGUCGAGCUGCGCGUAAGAAUAUUGCUAGGCAAGAUUGCAAGGGACCAAAUUUCAGCUUGAUUAUCAGGUAGAGUAUUUUGGAAGAUAUCAAGGAAACUAGUUGUGAUUAGAAUGGUACAAUUUUAUAUCAGUUGUAUAAUAAUUUAUUUAUUGGUUAUCAGUUACUCUUCUUAUCGA